rnacentral:rRNA from 1 species
GAUUAACGCUAGCGGCAGGCCUAAUACAUGCAAGUCGAACGGUAACAGGUGUAGCAAUACAUGCUGACGAGUGGCGCACGGGUGCGUAACGCGUAUGCAACCUACCUAUAACUGGGGAAUAGCCUUCUGAAAGGAAGAUUAACACCGCACAACAUCAUGAAACGGCAUCGUUUUAUGAUCAAAUCUCCGGAGGUUAUAGAUGGGCAUGCGUGACAUUAGCUAGUUGGUGAGGUAACGGCUCACCAAGGCUACGAUGUCUAGGGGGUCUGAGAGAAUGAUCCCCCACACUGGAACUGAGAAACGGACCAGACUCCUACGGGAGGCAGCAGUAAGGAAUAUUGGACAAUGGGCGCAAGCCUGAUCCAGCCAUGCCGCGUGAAGGAUGACGGCCCUCUGGGUUGUAAACUUCUUUUAUAUGGGAAUAAACCCCUGGUUUCUACCGGGGCUGAAUGUACCGUAAGAAUAAGGAUCGGCUAACUUCGUGCCAGCAGCCGCCGUAACAC